rnacentral:rRNA from 1 species
CCUACGGGUGGCAGCAGUGGGGAAUAUUGGGCAAUGGGCGCAAGCCUGACCCAGCAACGCCGCGUGAAGGAAGAAGGCUCUCUGGUUGUAAACUUCUUUUCUCAGGGACGAAGAACGUGACGGUACCUUAGGACUAAGCCACGGCUAACUACGUGCCAGCAGCCGCGGGAAUACGUAGGUGGCAAGCGUUAUCCGGAUUCAUUGGGUGUAAAGGGCGUGUAGGCGGGAGCGAAAGUCAGAUGUGAAAACUCAGGGCUCAACCCUGGGCCUGCAUUUGAUACUGUGCUUCUUGAGUGCGGGUGAGGCAAUCGGAAUGCAGGGUGUAGCGGUGAAAUGCGUAGAUAUACGGAGGAACACCAGUGGCGAAGGCGGAUUGCUGGACAGUAACUGACGCUGAGGCGCGAAAGCGUGGGGAGCAAACAGGAUUAGAUACCCCAGUAGUC